rnacentral:lncRNA from 10 species
GCCCAGGCUGAAGUGCAAUGGUAUGAUCUUGGCUCACCACAAACUCUGCCUCCCGGGUUCAAGUGAUCCUGCCUCAGCCUGCCGAGUAGCGGGAUUACAGGAGGUGAUUGGGCCACGAAGACUCUGCCCUCAUGGAUGGAAUUAGUGCCCUUAUAAAAGCACCUGAGGGAGUGAGUUUAGCCUCUUCUGCCCUUCCAUUCCUUCUGCCACGUGAGGACACAGCAGUCCUCCCAUCCAGAGGAUGCAGCAACACGGUGCCAUCUUGGAAGCAAAGAGCAGCCCUCACUAGACACCAAACUGCCUAAACUUCUCAGCCUCCAGAAGUGUGAGAAAUAAAUUUG